GAAACCAUAAAGAGCCACAGAAAAUUAAAGUACCUCCUAUCAUCAAAAUGUGGUUGCAAGGCAUUCACACCACACGGUAUAAUUGACUUGAAUGACAUUACACGCCAUUGAUUAGCGGAACUAUAUAUUCAAUGGGGAAUUGUUGAAGUUAUUUAUGUUAUACACUCUUUCUAAUUUAUAUUUACCAGCAGGCAUGGGGGGAAGAAGGAGGAAUGGGAAGAAGGGCCAAGGUAUCAAGAGACACCAUGGAUAUGAACAACGUAAGCCAGCACUACAAAGCGGAGAGUCACAACUACCAGAAGCUGAGACCACUGAAGGCAGAGGGACUGGUACCUGAGAUGUAGAAUAUGUGAAAUUCCCACUGAUAUGAGACAGAACUGUGCCUCAAUCCCUGCAAGCAAGAGACUGUAAAAUGACUUGACCUGUGAGUCAUGAAGUUAACAGGGCAAACACAAGGCACAGAACAGACGUGGCUGGUUCCUCAGUCUGCUGUUAUGCAGCAUAUGACGCUGCCAGCCUUCACACUGCCUGCCUUUCCUUUUGGCUUAAUAGCCAAGACUUUUUGGUGAGGCUUCUUUUUGUGGACUGCAAUAAAAGAGA